GUAUCUUAGGAGAAAGAUUCAUCCGACUAAAACGUUUAUCCUAGGAGAAAAUUCAUUAGACUAGGUUUUCUAUCUUAGGAGAAAAAUUCAUCAGACUAAGCUUUUGAUCCUAGAAGAAAGUUCAUCAGACUAUAUCCUUUUUUCUCUUUUUUUUUCUUUGUUUUUUUUUGGUAUCUUAGGAGAAAGAUUCAUCAGAUUAAGAUUUCUUUCCUAGGAGAAAGUUCAUCAGACUAGGUCCUCUAUCUUAGGAGAAAGAUUUAUCAGACUAAGAUUUUGAUCCUAGGAGAAAAUUCAUCAGACUAGGUCCUCUAUCUUAAGAGAAAGAUUCAUCAGACUAAGAUUUUGAUCCUAGGAGAAAAUUUAUCAGACUAGGUCCUUUAUCUUAGGAGAAAAAUUCAUCAGACUAAGAUUUUGAUCCUAGGAGAAAGUUCAUCGGACUAGGUCUUCUAUCUUAGGAGAAAAAAAUUAUCAGACUAAGAUUUCUAUCCUAGGAGAAAGUUCAUCUGACUAGGUCUUCUAUCUUAGGAGAAAAAUUCA
rnacentral:lncRNA from 1 species